CUGCGUAACGCAGUCAGGUGAAUCGACUGGUCCUUUUUAUGCUUAGUGACAUCUAUAUGAAGGUUUACUAAAUUUUGAGAAACACUUGUCAGGACACAAGACUGAAAGAAAGACGUACUGAAAAACUGCCUGUAAACACAACAAUCAUUAAAGUCAAUGCAUUACCCAGGAACAUCCAAGCAAUAUGAUAUCAGAGACUGGCAAUUUUUAUCACUUGAUGUGGCAGAAAAACCUAAAUAAAUAUUGAAAUGUUCAA